GACGAACGCUGGCGGCGUGCUUAACACAUGCAAGUCGAACGGAGUGGCGAACGGGUGAGUAAUACGUGGGUAACCUGCCCUCCUUUUUGGGAUAAGCCUUGGGAACGGGGUCUAAUACCGAAUAAAGGGGGAUGGGAUCGCGGCCUAUCAGGUUGUUGGUGGGGUGAUUGGCCACCAAGGCGGUGACGGGUAGCCGGCCUGGGAGGGUGAUCGGCCCCAUUGGGACUGGGAACAGGGCCAGAAUCCUAAGGGGGGGAGCAGGGGGGGAUAUUGGACAAUGGACGAAAGUCUGACGGAGCAACGCCGCGUGAGUGAAGACGGCCUUCGGGUUGUAAAGCUAGUAACGGACGAAAGCGGUACCGGAAUAGAAAGCCACGGCUAACUACGUGCCAGCAGCCGCGGUAAUAC
rnacentral:rRNA from 1 species